rnacentral:rRNA from 1 species
CUCGUAGGCGGUUCGUCGCGUCCGGUGUGAAAGUCCAUCGCUUAACGGUGGAUCCGCGCCGGGUACGGGCGGGCUUGAGUGCGGUAGGGGAGACUGGAAUUCCCGGUGUAACGGUGGAAUGUGUAGAUAUCGGGAGGAACACCAGUGGCGAAGGCGGCUUCCUGGCACACAACUGACGCUCAUGUGCGAAAGCCAGGGCAGCGAAG